UACAGAGGUCCCGAGCGUUGUUCGGAUUCACUGGGCGUAAAGGGUGCGUAGGUGGUGAGGUAAGUCGGAUGUGAAAUCUCCAAGCUCAACUUGGAAAUGGCAUUGGAAACUACCUUGCUGGAGGUUUGGAGGGGGGACUGGAAUUCUCGGUGUAGCAGUGAAAUGCGUAGAUAUCGAGAGGAACACCAGUGGCGAAGGCGAGUCCCUGGACAAAACCUGACACUGAGGCACGAAAGCUAGGGGAGCAAACAGG
rnacentral:rRNA from 1 species